UAAUGGCCAAACUCCAAGGGCUUUGAUGAAUGGUGAUAUUUUACGCAGUUCUGCUGCCUGUAUUCCCAGACAGGUCCCACCUGAUGGUCAGUCUCCUCCCUGGAGUACAGUGGAGCUGUUUCACAUCUGACAGCCCCUGGGACAGCAUCUGAGGAACUGGGACCCAGCAACCUUUUCUUAAAUGACUGCACCAUAAACCCAGCUAUUUUAAAGCA